CUCCCUGGCUGCCUGGGCCGCUGGCCCCGCCCACACCUCCCACCAGGAAGAAGUUUCUCCAGCCUCAUCACCCAGCCCUAUCCUCCCCUCCAGUCCCUCUCCCUGGCCCCUCAUCACCAUGCUGGAGUUUCCCUGCACCUCAGCUUCCAGGGCAGCUCCCUACCCCCACCCCUGGGGGCCAGCUGCUUCCAGGGCUAGGCCCAGAGGUCUUUCUCCACCUCUGUCCCCUGGCCCCUCUCACUCCCCUAGCCCCAGUGGUCCAAGUUCAAGCUUCCAGCCAGAAGAGAGAUUCUAUCUUCCUUCCCUGACCCAGAGGGACUUCCUUGUGGAACUGGGGGGUUCUUGGAGUGGGGGGGCUCUGGGGCAGCUUUACAUUCCCCAUGCGAGCAGUCCCCACACCUAGCCACCUCUCCAGAGAAGAGUGGGCCUUGACCCAGGACAGCUAGGAUGAAGACACCAGCUCAAGGAUGUGGGGUGGGUGGCUGGGAAGCACCCUGCUGAGUUGAGGACGGCCCCCAUGAAACCUCCACCACCACCACCGGGCAUAGUCCCACGACUACCCCCUGCCCGCUGCGCCCCAGACGCAAGCAGAGGUGACGCAUUCAGGACUGGCCCGCCAGCCAGAGACGCCCUCUCACAGGCGGUUCCCAAGUGCUGAGGAAGGUGAUGACCACACCCCAGAGAUCCACACACUCCUCCACCUCCACAGCUUCGCCCCAACCUCUCAAACGAGCUCCUCAGGCUUGGGGUGGCGUGCUCGGCCAGGGCCAGCCAGCCCAUUCCAACUGAGCCUAGGAAUCCAGGUCUCCCAGGAGUCAUUCUUUUGGGUCCCACUUUGAGCCCUGGACCUGCAGUCACAUUCCCCUCAACUGGCUGACUCUGCUCCGUGGGUGGGAGGGGAGCCAACCAGAGUCUGGCUGGUUCAAGUCCUCAGCUCUUCACAAACUUGCCCCGACAAGGACCCCCGAAUCACUGCUUCGGGGCCCCCCAGCAUCAGCAGUAAGCCCCACCUAUGUGGCUUCUUAUGUGUCCUGGCUUCCUGAACAAUGUCGCUGCGUAUAACCUUCAAGGACAAGGCUUUGGGGAGGGCCACAGACACCCUCCGAUCCCCGUUGCCAAUACUCCAGACCCUUCGUCCUCUGCUAGCCCACCUCUCAUGCCCCCACCCCCCUUCCCGUCCUCUCCCCCCCACCUCACCCCUCAGCUGCGGGCUCCCUUCUCUCCCCACUGGGCAUACACACCCGAAUCAAGGGCUAGCCCAACCCAUCAUCCUUGGGGGCCAACGAGAAGGAAGCUUCCCCAAUGAGCUUCAGAAAGGAAGUGAGUGCCACACCCUGCCCCAGGGAUUUCCCUCCUGGGGGCAGAAGAGACAGAGCACCAAAGGAGAAUCUUACUCCCCGAAUUUAGACCCAGCCCUGGUG
ensembl:lncRNA